rnacentral:rRNA from 1 species
AUUGAACGCUGGCGGCAGGCUUAACACAUGCAAGUCGAGCGGGGUGAUGGUGCUUGCACUAUCACCUAGCGGCGGACGGGUGAGUAAUGCUUAGGAAUCUGCCUAUUAGUGGGGGACAACAUUUCGAAAGGAAUGCUAAUACCGCAUACGUCCUACGGGAGAAAGCAGGGGAUCUUCGGACCUUGCGCUAAUAGAUGAGCCUAAGUCGGAUUAGCUAGUUGGUGGGGUAAAGGCCUACCAAGGCGACGGUCUGUAGCGGGUCUGAGGGGAUGAUCGGCCACAAUGGGACUGAGACACGGCCCAGACUCCUACGGGAGGCAGCAGUGGGGAAUAUUGGACAAUGGGCGCAAGCCUGAUCCAGCCAUGCCGCGUGUGUGAAGAAGGCCUUAUGGUUGUAAAGCACUUUAAGCGAGGAGGAGGCUACUUUAGAUAAUACCUAGAGAUAGUGGACGUUACUCGCAGAAUAAGCACCGGCUAACUCUGUGCCAGCCGCCGCCGUAAAAC